rnacentral:misc_RNA from 1 species
UCUCCGUUGGUGAACCAGCGGAGGGAUCAUUACCGAGUUUACAACUCCCAAACCCAAUGUGAACUAUACCUGUCUACCGUUGCUUCGGCGGGUUCACCCGCCGAGGGACCGACAAAUAAACUCUUGUAUUUCUAUCUUUAGCAUGUCUGAGUGGAAUCAUAACAAAUGAAUCAAAACUUUCAACAACGGAUCUCUUGGUUCUG